AGGACGAGGACCAGAAAGUGAAACAAACAUCGUGGGCGUUGUGCCUAGGACCUCAGCCCCUCCACGUACUGACCCAGUUGGAAUCCUUGGAGACCAUUGCGACGUCCAACAUCGUCCAGUUGUAAUCAAAAGAAGUGUGACAUGUUAUUUUCUGAGAAAACUCAGGACAUACAUAUGGCUCGGUUAGUAACCUAGUAAACCAAAUAAAACGAACACAGAUUAUUUAAAAUAAAGGUUUAUACUCCCUCCGUUCCUUAAUGAUGGAUUUUUUAGAAAAAAGUUUGUUUCAAAAAGAUGUAUUUUUGUGUUUUCUAUGAAAAAAUUGUAAACUUCAAAAAAAUUAAUUGACUUUAUUGAAUUACUAUUUGGUAAAAAUUAUUGAAAAUUGAAAAUAUAGAAAACGAUACAUUUAUUAUGGUAGUUUAAUGUGUUUUCUUUAAUAUGUGUCAAAAUACUAAAAAGUCUAUAUUUGUGGAACGGAGGAGUAUAAUAGUAUAUCUGUAUAU